rnacentral:lncRNA from 1 species
AGCCGAUCCCCCAUACUGGUCGAUCGGUCUAAUCCUCACUUGACCAGCCCUUUCAUUGUUUUUCCAUUAUCUCUUUUCUUUUCCAUACCAACAGGAGGCAACCCGGUCGUCUCCAUCAAAUCUAGAUCAUCAGGCGCUCACAACAGGAGGCCACCCUGCGGGCUACAAUCAAAUCUAGAUUAUCAGGUGCGCAACAACAAGAAGCCAUCCUGUGGUUUUNNNNNNNNNNAUCAUAAUUAGGAUCCAUGCUUUAUCGACCGUCCUCACAAACCCAUGGUGACCCACUUCAUCCCAAUUCCACACAAACAAAGCAAGGCAUUGUCACAUCACAACUAAUCAAGCAUUGCAAUUAAAUGCAGACAUAUUGAACAGUUAAACAUCAGAAUGCAAUGCACAAUUAGGCAUUCAUACUCAAAUGCAAAUAAAUAAAUAAUAUUAACAAUAAACAACAAUGAUAGAAUAAAUAACAAUAAUAAUAAUAAUAAUAAUAAACAAUAAUAAUGAAAAUAAAUAAGUAAUUGAAUAAUUAAAUAAAUAAUGAUGAUAGUAAAAUAAUUAGAGCACUUUAUUUACUAUGUAUUAAGUUAUAGAAUUAUUCUAAAUAAACUUAUUAAUUAUAUUGUUAAUUAAAACUAGUCUAAGUUCUAUCGGAAUUUCGGCAGCACCUCCCCUGAAAAUUGGACUAUCUACCUGCUCAAAUAUCACAAUAUUAUAUAUAUUUAUCAAUUAAUGCACACAGCCCAUCUGUCGGGCAAUCAACAAUUUAAAAUCCCAUCCUCCUUCCAAAAACAACAAUAUCAACACUCAACCAUUAAUUUACAACAAUCAUGCUCCAAUGGUAAUAGCAAUCAUUCUUUACUUCAUAUAAUUAUAACUAGCUUCAAUAGCUAAUUACCAAACAAAUGAAGGCUUUAAUACAUAUAUAAUCCAAUAAAACUUAUAUCAUUAAGUUAAUUUCAAUUGUUUUCAGUUGGUAGUUUCUUAGUAUCUAACUAUGAUAGUAUUCUUUAGCAAGCUUUCAUUUCUUCAUUCUUGCUUAAAGAUAUUAACCACAUUUAUAUCUUUGUUAAAUUUUAUAUUAGCCAAUAAGAACAAAUGGAUUAGUUUAUCUAAAGCUCCUCAAUUAUUCAAAAUAGUUGUUGUUCAUGACAAUAGGUCAUUCUCAACCUAGCUUAUAUAUAAUAUAUGAAUCAAUUCAUUCAAAUUCAAUUUAAUUGACUAAUGAUUACUAAGUUUAGAAUUUAUACCGAAAAUAGGAAAUUAAUCUUAGAACGUACCAAUUGAAAUUUGGGUGACGAUUCCACGAUCAGCGUGAAGAAAAGAGAAUUCUGCCUCUCAGGGCCUCGCCGGAGUGUCGCCGGCCGGUCACCGGACGGUGGCUGGAAAGUGAUUUACUGGUCGAAAUUCCCAAAAUUCACACCAAAGCGCUCGAAAUGUUACAAGGAGCUCAAAUCCACUGUUUGUUUAUGAGAUUGGCGAGCCAACUAGCUGGACUCGGGCUCCACAGCCACUGCAUCUCGCCUGAGCUGUAGCAAUCGCAGGAGUCGCGAACGGAGAGAGGCGUGACGUCGAGCACGAUCAGUGGCUGGGAUCGACGGCGCCUGAGCCGUGGCUGUGCUGCUGCAUCCAAUCGAACGAAAAUAGAGGGAGAGGAGAGCUAAGGCACGACGGUGAAGGGUAGCGGCGCAACCGUUGUGUUUGUCGCAGGCGACCGGUAACCACGACAGAGAAGGAGAGAGGCGAGCGGUGAACGCUGUCGAAGUUUAUGGCCGGUGGCCGGAAAACGAGAAAGAGAGGGAGAAGGGACUGCCGCUCACCUGAAAAACGAAGGAAAGAAGAAGAAGAGAGGAAGAAAAAGAAAUUACGUCGGUUUCUAGAUCAUUCCGGUUCGAUUCGAAUCGGGUUGGUCUGAUUCAACGAUUUGGCUCGAUUCUUGCUCGGUUUGCAGGUUUUUCACUUGGUUUUCGGAUUAUUUGUGUGGUUCUCGAUAAAUUAAACUGAUUUUCGGGUCUGGUUCAGUUUAUUUUAACUGUUUAGUUUGGUUCCGUAAUAUUUUUUCCAUUUACUCGGUAAUAAAAAUAUUAAUAGUAACA